rnacentral:rRNA from 1 species
GAUGAACGCUGGCGGCGUGCCUAAUACAUGCAAGUCGAGCGAACGGACGAGAAGCUUGCUUCUCUGAUGUUAGCGGCGGACGGGUGAGUAACACGUGGAUAACCUACCUAUAAGACUGGGAUAACUUCGGGAAACCGUAGCUAAUACCGGAUAAUAUUUUGAACCGCAUGGUUCAAAAGUGAAAGACGGUCUUGCUGUCACUUAUAGAUGGAUCCGCGCUGCAUUUGCUAGUUGGUAAGGUAACGGCUUACCAAGGCAACGAUGCAUAGCCGACCUGAGAGGGUGAUCGGCCACACUGGAACUGAGACACGGUCCAGACUCCUACGGGAGGCAGCAGUAGGGAAUCUUCCGCAAAGGGCGAAAGCCUGACGGAGCAACGCCGCGUGAGUGAUGAAGGUCUUCGGAUCGUAAAACUCUGUUAUUAGGGAAGAACAUAUGUGUAAGUAACUGUGCACAUCUUGACGGUACCUAAUCAGAAAGCCACGGCUAACUACGUG